CUUCAGUUAAAGCAACUACCCGAAUAGGGUUCCACUCUAUAGAACAACUUCUAGGUGAAACUGGAAACCACGCUUCAACAGUUCAAGUGUUCAACUAUACAUUGAACUGUUAAAGAUUCCAAUUCCUUUACAUAAUGGAUUGGGGAUCGUCUUUUUCUUUUCUUCAUUAUCAUAAAAAGCUAUUCGUCCCUUGAAGAGUGAAGAGUCGGUUUAGCAUCUAUACAAACUUCUUCCAAGCUUCCUCAGGCUUAGCUUUUGUUACCCCCGAUUCUCAAUAACCCAGGGUUUGUUUUUGUGCUUUGAUCGAAGUUUUGUUUUUCUUUGUUCAGAAGACACCAAAAAGAAAAUUCUCAAGACCAAGAAAUAUUUUAAGAGAGAAAGACUUUAAAGAAGAAGAAGGCAAAGAUGAGUUACUACAAUCAGCAGCAACCUCCUGUUGGUGUUCCUCCUCCUCAAGGGUAUCCUCCAAAGGAUGCAUAUCCACCGCCAGGGUACCCAGCUGAAGCUUAUGGCUACCCGCCUCCACAGUACGUAGCUCCUCCUCCUAGACAGCAGCAGGAUACCAGUUUUCUUGAAGGAUGCUUAGCAGCACUCUGUUGUUGUUGCCUUCUGGAUGCUUGCUUCUAAGGAGAAUGAAGUGAUCAGCUUGGUCAUUUGUCAACUGUCGAUCAUCCUUAACUCCAAUUAAGGGAAAUUAAUUAAUUACUUUUAUCUAAUGUGUAUGGAUUUUUUUUUAUUUGGUUUUGAAUGUAUAACAUGGUAGAUUUAUAUCCAUAAACUACUCGAUUUUCAUCUAAUGUGUAUGGAUUUUUUUUUAUUUGGUUUUGAAUGUAUAACAUGGAUGUAGCAUAUUUCGAGGCUCAGUUCCUUUUGUAAUUCAUGAAUGAAUUUUAUUCUACGUGUGAAGAAAAAA